UACGUAGGGGGCAAGCGUUGUUCGGAUUUACUGGGCGUAAAGCGCGUGUAGGCGGCUUCGUAAGUUGGAUGUGAAAUCCCACGGCUCAACCGUGGACGUGCAUCCAAAACUACGUCGCUGGAGUCUCGGAGAGGAAGGUGGAAUGCUUGGUGUAGAGGUGAAAUUCGUAGAUAUCAAGCAGAACACCUGCGGCGAAGGCGGCCUUCUGGACGAUGACUGACGCUGAGACGCGAAAGCGUGGGGAGCAAACAGG
rnacentral:rRNA from 1 species